CUCUCUCUCUCUCUCUCUCUCUGUUAUCUUCCUUACGAUUCUUACCUCUUUCUCCUCACUGUUCCCUCUCCUCCCAUUCUUCUCUCCUUGCUCCUCUUCCUGCACCUCUCAGUUCUCUUUCGCCUCCAUAUUCGUGGUUGCCAGCCCGGCGCUAACAGACACAGACAGGCUACCAUACAUCUCCCUUUUCUAGCAUCAUGAGCUGUGGCGGCGGCUCCAGCUGUCUUCCCAAGCGCUCCUCACGCUGGCGGGAACUACUGGCCGGAAUGGUGAGGGCCCCGCAGCGCCACAGGUGUAUUAAGACUCGGGAAUGCGAGCUUUCUUGUAUCCUGAUGUGUUGGGUUGCAGCAUUUGUAGGUACACGUUCCUCUGUUCUGUUUUAUGAGCUAUCAUGACUGUUGUUACUGUUACUGUGACUGAAGCCAAGCAAGGGGCGAGAGUUAGAAAGCUUGGAGAGGCUGGAGUGUCAAGAACUGUGAUGUUUUCACUUGGGUUUUCUUUUUUCUUUCCAUCUGGUUGUGACAGACUCCGUUGGGGACUUGCGCCUUCUCCCCACACGAGUGGCACCAAGCAAGGGACAAGGAAAAGAAGGGAAAAAGUAUGUAAUGAGAAGAAGAAAAUAUUUAUAUGGUAAUUGCUACUACAGUCAAUGAUUUUUCUUUUGAAUGAUUGCAAACUUUUAUUACUUGGCAGUGAACGCAAAAAUAUCAAAAUUUGUGUAGCAACAGUUUAAGUUUAAUAGCAAUAUACAAGGAAAUGUAGUUAACAUGCACCAACGGUAGACUGACGUUACUUGUGUGCCAAAGGUGAAGAAAUCUCUGGAUCUGAGAUAACCUGACAGCGAGUGAAGGAUGAGGGACCAUUAAUCUGGCAGUGUACAGGGGCACCGCCUCAGCGACGCCUUAGAGCCAACACGCAAUGGAAGAGCAACAUUUCCUGUAAUGAAGCGUUUGUGUUCUUGCACCUUUUUCACGCAAAUACUUGUACCAGUGACACUGUCGUCGCUCCAGUCAUCACACCACCACAGCCACAACAGUUACAAGAACACCUGUCCAUAUGCACCACAUUUAUUGCCACAACUAAUGGCGUGUUCACUACCACACACACUACCACUGCUGAUACCACCUGCAGCACCACCUCUACCACCACCAUCACCAACAACAAGCAAAUUUGUUGCCGAAUUUCAAAGCAGACAUAUCUACACAUAAAGGUUAUUGUAAAUGCUGCAAGACAACUACCACGCUACUGUUGAAGAAUCUAUUUUUCGUGAUGGCGUCAGUCAGAGAUGGUAGUGGGCAUCCUGAGCCAGACAGAAUUUGUUUGACAUUUCUACUUUUACGUUUGUUUCAAGGACAGGACGUUACCUGCGCCCCUUGCGUGUGACUGACGGUCCCCCCCCAACUGGUCAAAUACAAGGCCACAGAAAAGAAAACGGUCAGGUGUCCUGUUGUGUGAAGGUAUUUACUAGUCAGCUGCAUCCAAAAAUGUGGCAAUACUGAGUCUUCCCUUUGUCUGAAAACUUGCUUACUUUUCAGCAUUUAAAGUUCAUCUAUUCCUUUAUUGACUGAAAAGCAUUCAAGUCAAGUAAAUAGAAUGAGGCAAAUCGUACACUAAACAAUUAAUUACACAUUGUUUCAAAUAAUAUGGAGGACUCAUUUAGAGCCACACGUAACACAGUGACGCUCACUCUCCAUCACUAAACACAACAUCACACACAACAUAAAAUAUUUUGAUCACCACGUAAUAAAUGAAAUAUAUUAACACAGUACAAUUAAUAAUAAAACACAGGGUCACUGCAUGCGAAGGACCACAGAGAGUACCGUUUUUCACAUCUUGAUGAAGCACCAAUUAAACACAUGAAACACGUGAAAGACACAUGGAAAACCACACAAUACUUUGACACAACUACAGUGGAGACAUUGAAGGCACUAGGACAUUUCGAAGUACUGCAUCACAAAGUACAAAGCGACCAGCGACCCGCCUGUCUUCAUGGAUCCAUGAUCUGAGUGUGCGACGUCUCGGCACACAACCCUGCUGCUGCUGCUGCUGUCUCCCGCUGUCUGCCUGCUGUAUGCCUGCGCUUCGCCUUAUCUUCGGUGCGCUACACAUAUCUACGUUCAUAAGGUCUAUAUCUUGCUUCAGAAACUCAGGAUACUGACUCCUUCAAAAUGGUGUCCCUCAGGUCCUCUGCGCCACUAACCACCGGGGCACUGAGGGAAGCAGCGCCACUCACGCAGUCAUCACUUUUAACUUUGGCACCAGACUGAGUGGUGUGUUGAGCCGACACUCAAGGGGAUGGUUUCGUCUCUGCGUGUGGUGUCAUGACCCUCAACAGCUGAAUGAGGGUUGUCUUGGGAGGCCAGACUGCUUGCGCCGUCAUCAGUCUUGCGGGGGGCGGUGACGCGGCUGGUGUCAGUACUACGACAAAAAAUAUCUUUAAAAAUCCCUACAGCUACAACCCAUUAAAAGGGUGUUUCUCUUGUUAAUGAUGCAGAUAUCUUGUUAAUCUGUCACUGGAAUCACAAAAACAUCAUUAAAAACCCCUAUAACCUACACUACAGCAUACUGAAAUAGUGUUUCUCCUGUCACUAGUGCAGAAAUCUUGUUAAUCUGUCACUGCAACCUUAAAAAAAACAUUCCUAACCUAACCUAACAUGUUCCUAACCUAACCUAACCUAAUUUUUACAGAUCCGUGUCGUGGCAUCAUGAGGGAAAGCAGCUUGUGUGCUGUCAUACGGACGGGACGCUCACAGCUUGGAAUCUCAAACAAGCCUCUCCCAUACCCACCUCUAAUAUUUUCCACCACGCAUCAAUCCUGCCCAGCUGAGCUGCGUCGUCGACGGCUUUAUCGGAGAGCAUGUCGUCCAACACGUCGAGGAACGCGUUUGCAAUGUACAUGUUUGAGGUAUCAUCGGCGAUGCCGUGAUGAUUGGCCAGCAGUAAUGUGCGGGUGUAGGGAAAAGUGGCAGACAACUCCUGCCGGAAACUGCAGCCAGGGUCACUGGCAGGAAGGAGACGUGCACACCACAAAGGACCUUCGGUGGUAGGAAAGUGGUACUGCAUUAAUGUCUCCACAGCCUGAACUAGCUCCUUCGUGUCUGUUACCUGAGGAAAGGGAAUGAUGCGUGGCAUCAGUAGCCAAGGCAUAACAUAACAUAACUGACUAUCUUCAACCUCUUUCUCAUUGGCGCAAUGUUGCAUCUCUAGCUAUCUUCUACCGCUAUUUUCAUGCUAACUGCUCUUCUGCUCUUGCUAACUGCAUGCCUCCCCUCCUGCCGCGGCCUUGCUGCACAAGACAUUCUUUUAUCUCUCACCCC